AGUAAUGUCUGGGAAACUGCCUGAUGGAGGGGGAUAACUACUGGAGACGGUAGCUAAUACCGCAUAACGUCGCAAGACCAAAGUGGGGGACCUUCGGGCCUCAUGCCAUAAGAUGUGCCCAGAUGGGAUUAGCUAGUAGGUGGGGUAACGGCUCACCUAGGCGACGAUCCCUAGCUGGUCUGAGAGGAUGACCAGCCACACUGGAACUGAGACACGGUCCAG
rnacentral:rRNA from 1 species